CUCACGUCAAUGCCAAUCACAAGCAAAGGUACAUGAAUUACUGUUCUAACUGCGGAUUGAUGCUCGAGGGACUGCUGGCAAUCCUAGCUCAUCCACCUGCACCAGAUAGCACCAGGCAACAUUCAGUACAAGCUUAAAACAGGAGCGGUAGGUGCAGCUGGCAAAUUAAGCUCUGCAUCGAAAUCGGAUUCCUUGUCUGGUUGAAGAUACGAUGGGACUGCACUUGACUCAAACUCCAUAUCAGCCUCCAAAGCAUCCAGUUCUGCAAUGUUCAAGAAACAACGACAGUAGAUAGAUUAUUAUCUCCAGCCCUGCAAUGGUCCCAGGAAGAAUGAAGGCAUGGCAACAAGCUAGGCAAUUUAUGGCAUGAAUCUAUGUUAUUACUUCCAGAUGCCUAUGAAUGACAAUAAUGCCAAGUAAAUUGCCAACCAUCAUUUUCCAAUUGGCCAACUGAUGGUACAGCGUCCAUACCUCCCAUUAGUUCUUCCUCAUCAACAUCGUCAGGGAUGUUGUAGCUUCUACCAAGGGAUUCUUGUAUUUCGUUGCUCACAUCCAUCAGGUCAGUCAUUUCAUCUUGCAUAUUCUACAGGUGGAUCAGGGCAUUCGUUUUACGCGAAAAAAGAUGAUAAUACUCAAGAUAGUCCAACAAGCAAUUUCAAGGGCGGUUGAUAACCGCACUUAAAAAAGAUUGACAAUUGUGGUUUUUGUAUGGUUUUCUUGUAAAUCAAUGGAUAUACUGGUGUAAAAUGUGUUGAUGAUCUAAACAAUAGGCAAAUCCUGCAGAUUA